GAUUAUAUGUUUUUGAGGUUUGAUAAAUUCGGAUACUAGAUAAAUCAUUUACACAUGGUUUAUGCUAAAUACCAAUCAGCCUUGAAACUGAUUCAUUGAAAUUCAUGUUUGAAAUCUAUAUUCUAGUAUUGCUAAAAUCAGCUUUGAAACUGAUUGAGUGAUUAAUAAAUCUUUUUACUAGUCUUGCUAAAAUCCAUUGAUUGUUAAACCCUAAGUGCAUGAUUAAUUAAAUCUGUUUUUGCUAGUCUUGAUAAACCAUAAUAUUAUGAGCACAU
rnacentral:lncRNA from 1 species